GUAGGUGGCAAGCGUUGUCCGGAAUUAUUGGGCGUAAAGCGCGCGCAGGCGGUUUUUUAAGUCUGAUGUGAAAGCCCACGGCUCAACCGUGGAGGGUCAUUGGAAACUGGAGAACUUGAGUGCAGAAGAGGAGAACGGAAUUCCACGUGUAGCGGUGAAAUGCGUAGAGAUGUGGAGGAACACCAGUGGCGAAGGCGGCUCUCUGGUCUGUAACUGACGCUGAGGCGCGAAAGCGUGGGGAGCAAACAGGAUUAGAUACCCUGGUAGUCCACGCCGUAAACGAUGAGUGCUAAGUGUUAGAGGGUUUCCGCCCUUUAGUGCUGCAGCAAACGCAUUAAGCACUCCCGCCUGGGAGUACGGUCGCAAGACUG
rnacentral:rRNA from 1 species